CAGCCAGGGCCAAAGUCCUCUCCCUUCGGACUCCAAAAUCCGCGUUUUUCCACCCAAAUCGGACGUCUCUUUUUCUCUCUCUUUCUGGGGGAAAAUGGAUCAAUUUAUUAUUUUCGCCUUUUCGGCGCUGGUUCUGGGUUCGAAUCUCGGACGAAUAGAAGGGCAGGAAGCUGUGGAAGUGGAGAGGCUCUACGGCCAAUGGCACGAAGUGGCCCUGGGUUCGACUUGCCGCUGGGUCCAGGCCAAUGGCGGCCGCUUCGCCGCCGGGACGCUGGUCCUGGGUGCGGGGAAGGCGCCGGGGGAACUGACCGCCACCAGCACCCGGCUCAGGCAAGGGGCGUGCCGGUCCUACACCCAGGACUACCAGAAGGGCGCCGAAGCAGGAAGGUUCACCUUCCAGAAUGCAAGGUGGAAGGCGCACGGCGAGACCUACGUGGCGCACGCCGACCCCGACGUGUUCGCCAUCUUGGUCACGGAGAAGAACAGCACCCACGGGCUCAGCACCAGCGCCAAGCUCUAUGGAAGAACCCCGGCGCUGAGGGAGGACCUGGUGGAGGACUUCCGGCGGCGGGCCCUUGCACUGGGGAUCCCAGAGGAGGCCAUCUUUGUCCUGAGCAACCAAGGGGAGUGCGUCCCGCCCAAGGCCGAAGAUGCGCCCCAGGAGAGGGUGCGCAGGACCCCCUUGUUUGAGGAGGAAGGCUCGGCCGACGGAUUCGCACCCGCGUUCCCGGACGUCAAGGAAGCCGACUGCCAGCUGCCCCGGGACGCCGGCCCCUGCCUGGGCGCCGAGUUGCGCUUCUUCUACAACGCCAGCGCACGGUCGUGCCAGAGCUUCCUCUACGGCGGUUGCCUGGGCAACGCCAACCGCUUCCUGUCCGAACGGGCCUGUCUGCAGACGUGCCGGACCGAAGCCGCCUGCCGCCUGCCCAUCACCCCCGGAGCCCCCUGUCCGUCAACCUUCUGGGCCUUUGACUCCGCCCAGGGCGCCUGCGUCACUUUCCGGGGCUGCGGGGGCAACGCCAACAAGUUCUACCUGGAGAAGGAGUGCAAGGAGUACUGCGGGGUCCUGGCCGAAGAUUAUUGGGGAGAAGGUUCUAGUCCUCCUCUCCCACGCCAACAAGUUCUACCUGGAGAAGGAGUGCAAGGAGUACUGCGGGGUCCUGGCCGAAGGUACCAUUCAUGAUUAGUCACUAUUAUUCACUAUUAUUAAUUACUAUUAUUAUUAUUAUUAAUAUGGAGAUUAUUGGGGAGAAGGUUCUAGUCCUCCUCUCCCACGCCAACAAGUUCUACCUGGAGAAGGAGUGCAAGGAGUACUGCGGGGUCCUGGCCGAAGGUACCAUUAAUGAUUAGUCACUAUUAUUCACUAUUAUUAUUAAUUACUAUUAUUAUUAUUAUUAAUAUGAAGAUUAUUGGGGAGAAGGUUCUAGUCCUCCUCUCCCACGCCAACAAGUUCUACCUGGAGUACUGCGGGGUCCUGGCCGAAGGCGACGACGACUUCCUGCGUCUGACGGCGCCCUGAGGUCAUCCGGCGUCAAUCAAACCCGCAACCUGUCAAUCAACCAAUAAAGGCGGGCUCUUCAUGAUCAAAGCGGAGCGUUCCAUUUCUUUAAAGGGGGGUUUUCUUAAUUAUAAAAACGGAGCAUUCCAUUUAAUUAAAGGGGGGCUCUUAAUUA